ACUACCAGCUGGUUGGCAUUCCUCUGACCAACAGAAUGACUAGGAAUCAAGGCUUUGAGCCACAGUGUGAUUUAGGGUGGGACUUUGGGUCAUGCGGUCUCAGUCGAUCUCCUGAGGGGCUGCAGACUGAGGACAGCCAUGUGGAUGAACAAUCAGGUUUAGGUAAUCAAGCUUCAGUAAAGACUCUGGACACCAAGCGUCAGCACAGCCAGAAGGACCUAGAGGGUAGAGGAAUUCUCUUCCGUCCAUACAGUUUGGCAACUUGGACGGGAUAAAACUUCACUGGCUGGAUGCUGCUCGCUCCUGCACUACUGAGAGAUCCUGGACCCCUGACAAGAGCCGGCAGGAGAAGCCCAGGCCAGCCUGCGGGAGGAUGAAAGACCACAUGGAGAGGAGCUGAGGCAUCUCUCUGAGGCCACCCUAGACCAGACAGACAGCCCUGGGGAGCUUACUAGCUGACAACGGACACUGCACGGCUGACCGCUAGGUUCCUGAGAACUAAUCAAGUGUUGUUGAAAGACAGUUCUGAGGUGGUUUGUUUUGUGGCAGUAACUAACUGAUCUAAGAAGUAAUGUCAGUGCCAUGAUGGAGGCUGGGGGUAAAUCUCGUGGGACCCCGUUAGGAUUGUAAAAAUUUUUGCUUUUACUCUGAGUAAAAUGAGAAAUCAUCACAAAGUUUUGAGCAGCCAUACAACAUGAUCUGUUAUUUUAAAAUGCUCACUCUAGCUGCUGUGUGUCUUACUUCCUCAUUAGAAUUCCUGAUUCCCUGGCCCAUCCUGGUUCACAACUCCAGGGUGCAGAAGAGGGAUUACUGCCACCAUUGGAACAUUUGCUCAAUUUACAAAGAGAAAUGUUAUUGUUAAUUUGACUUGGAUUUAGUAUGACUUCUUGCGGAUGCUAAAGUUUGUUCUGGCUUUUCAUUUUUCUUGCAGGGAAUUAUUUCUAUUUCCUUUUGCUCAAAGAUGACUUCUGCACGGGAAGUAUGACCUUUUAAUCUAAUUUUCAUUUUUAAAGAGCUCGUGGCUUUACAUGGGAGUUACAGCCUCAUGCAUAUUAUGAGAAAAGAGCCAGGGGAGGCAGAACCCAUGACAUCCUUCUAAUACUGUGGAAUCUCGGAUCCCUGGGAAUGAAGUGACUAGAGGAAAUCACUUCUAAUUAUUCUAGCAUUAAUAUUCUAAGAAUCAACCUUUCAUGACAUUUAGUUUACUACGUCACACAAAGUGAUAUUUCUCAGACACCCGUGGCAACAAAUACCACCCAGAGCAUUUGUUCUAGCUCUAGACCUGGACUCCAAGUUAUAAGAGACAGAUUGUUUCUGCUAAAACAAAAACCAA